AGAGUUUGAUCCUGGCUCAGGAUGAACGCUGGCGGCGUGCCUAAUACAUGCAAGUCGAGCGAACGGACGAGAAGCUUGCUUCUCUGAUGUUAGCGGCGGACGGGUGAGUAACACGUGGAUAACCUACCCAUAAGACUGGGAUAACUUCGGGAAACCGGAGCUAAUACCGGAUAAUAUUUUGAACCGCAUGGUUCAAAAGUGAAAGACGGUCUUGCUGUCACUUAUGGAUGGAUCCGCGCUGCAUUAGCUAGUUGGUAAGGUAACGGCUUACCAAGGCAACGAUGCAUAGCCGACCUGAGAGGGUGAUCGGCCACACUGGAACUGAGACACGGUCCAGACUCCUACGGGAGGCAGCAGUAGGGAAUCUUCCGCAAUGGGCGAAAGCCUGACGGAGCAACGCCGCGUGAGUGAUGAAGGUCUUCGGAUCGUAAAACUCUGUUAUUAGGGAAGAACAUAUGUGUAAGUAACUGUGCACAUCUUGACGGUACCUAAUCAGAAAGCCACGGCUAACUACGUGCCAGCAGCCGCGGUAAUACGUAGGUGGCAAGCGUUAUCCGGAAUUAUUGGGCGUAAAGCGCGCGUAGGCGGUUUUUUAAGUCUGAUGUGAAAGCCCACGGCUCAACCGUGGAGGGUCAUUGGAAACUGGAAAACUUGAGUGCAGAAGAGGAAAGUGGAAUUCCAUGUGUAGCGGUGAAAUGCGCAGAGAUAUGGAGGAACACCAGUGGCGAAGGCGACUUUCUGGUCUGUAACUGACGCUGAUGUGCGAAAGCGUGGGGAUCAAACAGGAUUAGAUACCCUGGUAGUCCACGCCGUAAACGAUGAGUGCUAAGUGUUAGGGGGUUUCCGCCCCUUAGUGCUGCAGCUAACGCAUUAAGCACUCCGCCUGGGGAGUACGACCGCAAGGUUGAAACUCAAAGGAAUUGACGGGGACCCGCACAAGCGGUGGAGCAUGUGGUUUAAUUCGAAGCAACGCGAAGAACCUUACCAAAUCUUGACAUCCUUUGACAACUCUAGAGAUAGAGCCUUCCCCUUCGGGGGACAAAGUGACAGGUGGUGCAUGGUUGUCGUCAGCUCGUGUCGUGAGAUGUUGGGUUAAGUCCCGCAACGAGCGCAACCCUUAAGCUUAGUUGCCAUCAUUAAGUUGGGCACUCUAAGUUGACUGCCGGUGACAAACCGGAGGAAGGUGGGGAUGACGUCAAAUCAUCAUGCCCCUUAUGAUUUGGGCUACACACGUGCUACAAUGGACAAUACAAAGGGCAGCGAAACCGCGAGGUCAAGCAAAUCCCAUAAAGUUGUUCUCAGUUCGGAUUGUAGUCUGCAACUCGACUACAUGAAGCUGGAAUCGCUAGUAAUCGUAGAUCAGCAUGCUACGGUGAAUACGUUCCCGGGUCUUGUACACACCGCCCGUCACACCACGAGAGUUUGUAACACCCGAAGCCGGUGGAGUAACCUUUUAGGAGCUAGCCGUCGAAGGUGGGACAAAUGAUUGGGGUGAAGUCGUAACAAGGUAGCCGUAUCGGAAGGUGCGGCUGGAUCACCU
rnacentral:rRNA from 2 species